GGUAUGUAAAGCUCUAUCAGCAGGGAAGAUAAUGACGGUACCUGACUAAGAAGCACCGGCUAAAUACGUGCCAGCAGCCGCGGUAAUACGUAUGGUGCAAGCGUUAUCCGGAUUUACUGGGUGUAAAGGGAGCGCAGGCGGUGCGGCAAGUCUGAUGUGAAAGCCCGGGGCUCAACCCCGGUACUGCAUUGGAAACUGUCGUACUAGAGUGUCGGAGGGGUAAGCGGAAUUCCUAGUGUAGCGGUGAAAUGCGUAGAUAUUAGGAGGAACACCAGUGGCGAAGGCGGCUUACUGGACGAUAACUGACGCUGAGGCUCGAAAGCGUGGGGAGCAAACAGGAUUAAAUACCCUGGUAGUCCACGCCGUAAA
rnacentral:rRNA from 1 species